rnacentral:lncRNA from 1 species
GCCGGGAAUGUCAGCUCCUGUCCCGACGCCAGGGGCUUGCAUUCCUCCCCGAUGCUGCUCCCAAAGAAUGCCAGCCCAGAAGGGCUACAUGUGGUGGAAGCUGCUGGAGAACAAAUGGUCUGGCCAGGAUUCUGAAAUCACCCGGCUGGAGAACCAAUGGUCUGGCCAGGAUUCUGAAAUCACCCAGGAAUGGCUGGAUGGGAGGAGGACAGGUUGCCUUUCCAAAGCCUUUUUCCUAACUCUUCCCACAAUUUCAAGAUGAGGAUCUAUGAAAACACACCAGCUCUGAAAGAACAGAAUAGAGCCAAAGGCACAAAGCAUUUUAAUGAGGCAAAAACAUCCUGCUAAGUCUUUUGGUUUAUUGGUGUUGAGCCCGUUCCAAGCCUAAAGAAAAGGACUCUGAAUCUAGUAAAAUAGUUGGCUUGUGGGAUCUGCAAUGUAAGCAUGAUUAAAAUCCAUCUAUUUUUAUCCAUAUGAGAAUAUAUCAGCCAGAGGAAUCUGGUUUUUUCAGAAGUAAAAUAUAUUUGCCUUCAAUAAAAGCAUCCAAGUGUGCUCAGCGUGUAACAGCAUUUCCCAGUGCUGGGAAGAGAGAAAGGUAGCAGGGUUUGCUGCUUCCCAGCCCCUUUGUUGGCUGGUGCUAGUGACAUUCCAAGAAUUGUAAUGCCACUUGCACAGAAAAUGGGAGACAAGAGUUAGAUCUCUGCAAACUGAAGAAAUUCAGGCUUGCUGCUGCCCGUAGCAAUCUAAGCACUGAGAGGAGUGGGAGAGUCCUGCUCUUUCCUGCUUCCAGUUUUGAUGGAUCCAGGGGCUCCACAACCUCUUCUGGAAAGGGUGUGAGAUUUGCUCAGUACUUCUUUCUGCUUCUCAUUUAUCCCAGUGAAAAUGGGCAUUUUCAUACUUUCACAGAAAGAAGGUCACAAAAAUAUUUUCCACUUCCUGGGCAAAUGCUCCAAUUGUGCUUUUGUAAAAGAGGGAUGGGAUACAGUGACUCCUACAAUUAAUUAUCUCCAUUCCUGUAUUGUGUGUGGGCUCUCAAAAACCGUGGUAAACCAUAAACCAGCUCCAACUGCCAGAGCACAGGGAAACACUUGCAUAAGUGACCUGUAAAACACAACCACAUCCGUUUAUAACUGAUGCUCUGUUGGCUUCCCAAGGGAAAAGGAGAAGUCAUGGACAAGACUGAGCUCUCUGAGGAUGGGUGCUGUGUUUGGAGUCACGUGCUGAACUACAAUGAAAGGCCUGUUGUUUGAGCAGAGACAUAACAAAACCACUAGAGACAAGUUUUGAAGGAUCAUUUGCUGAAAAGCCAACAAAAGAUCAAGCAGGAGCAGGUUUAGGUGCUUGCUUUCCUUCUCUUCUCCCUCUGACGAAUACUCACCCAAUUUUCCCUCAUUUUUUUCCAUUGAAAAUGGUUUGAUUUGUAAUUUUCUAUCCUGAUACCAACUCUCACCUGUGCAUCAAGCUCUGAUUGAGUGCAGAACACAUUGCAACAGCAUUGUAAGCCUCGUUGUGCAACAUCCAUGGCCCCCAAUCCUGGCAUCCACUGGCAAGGAAAACGCUCCCAAUGACACACGCGUCAGCCAGCAAGCCCCGGGUGUCCUGGGGAGGGGAGAGGUCAGACAGCCAGCCCCCAAACACGAUUUAUUUCAU